UAGCUGUAAAUGAGCUAUUAGACGAUAACAAAAAGUCCACAUGUUUCAAGUGAAGGGUUAUACUUGUGUUAUGGUGCUUUUGAUGACAUUUUGUGAUAUUCACGGAAUAAUUUAGUGGAUUGGUCCACGACUUCAUUUAUAAUACUGCGUUUGAUUUGGUCAUCUAUUGCAGCCAGUUCUGAUUGUGGGUAUUGUAAUUUAGGAGUUCUCCAUGUACGAGGUAUCCGGUAAAGAAACACAACCAGAAAUUGUUUUAAGCUGAUUAGGUGGUAGGCAAGGAUGCCAUCUGAGAAAUGCAGGAACUAUCUGGCUCUUUUGACCGAGUCAUUUAGGUUUAUAUCAUGGUUCGCCGUAUUGGACAGUGCGGGACAUAUCGUACCAUACCACUUUGGUAUCAGUAUUUGGUAUGAAACAUACUGUAUGAUACUAAUUCGGUAUCGGUAUUUGGUACUAGUAGCGUAUCGACAUUCAAUAUGUGAGUCUCUCCUGGGAUGCUAUAGUCUUAAAGAUGAACUCAGCAUGCACUUGACAUACGUGAAAAAUGUGCUCUUUGCUAUAUCUAGUUUGCCCCUGAAAGUAUGUAUUGCAGUUCAAUAAUUUAUGCUCGUUAAGAAGAUUGGUACGAGACUUCAUGAAUAUCUGACAUUGGAGAAAAAGCAUUGAAAGAAAGCUGGCUAUGUUUUGCUUCAAGAAAGUCCUUCUAUAAAAAAUAUUUCUUAAAAAAAAUAAAUGAAUGAUAUUAUAGCGUGAGAAGUGCUUCUACAAGAAGCAGAAGUCAAGAGAAAAAAAACCCUUGAGGAGUAGCUAAAAAAAGAAAUUAAAUUCUAGUUGCUUCUUUUGUGGAACUUCUCCAUAUCU
rnacentral:lncRNA from 1 species